rnacentral:lncRNA from 1 species
UAAUCUUCACAACAACCCAUUUAAAUAGAUAAUAGGGGAAAAGGGUACAUAGUUGGCUUACACUCGCCACGUCACACAAAUACAUGAAUAACAUUACAUCAUCCAAUACACUCAUGGUCCGACUACGGUACCAAAAUAAAAGAUCAACCCCAACAUGCGACACGGUCCCGAUCGCCCCAACUGGGCACCACUACUGAUCAUCAGGGAAAGACACAUAGUAAUGGCGAGAGUCUUCGUCGAACUCCCACUUGAGCUCAAGCGCAUCAUCUGGAAUGGAAUCAUUGGUCCCUGCACCUGGUUUGGAAGUAAUCUGUGAGUCACGGGGACUCAGCAAUCUCGCACCCUUGCGAUCAAGACUAUUUAAGCUUAUAGGUAAGGCAAGGUAAUAUGUGGAGCUGCAGCAAGCAACUAGCAUAUAUGGUGGCUAACCUGUUUGCAAAAGAGAGCAAAAAGAGAAGGCAAAGCAUGAACGAAGAACUAUAGAACAACCUACGUCAAACAUUACCCUAACACCGUGUUCACUUCUCGGACUCCGCCGAGAAGAGACCAUCACGGUUACACACGCAGUUGAUUCAUUUUAAUUAAGUUACGGUUCAUGUUAUCUACAACCGGACAUUAACAAAUUCCCAUCUGCCCAUAACCGCGGGCACGGCUUUCGAAAGUUCAAAUCCCUACAGGGGAGUCCCAACUUAGCCCAUCACAAGCUCUCACGGUCAACGAAGGAUAUUCCUUCUCCCGAGACAUUCCGAUCAGACUCGGCAUCCCGGUUCUACAAGACAUCCUCGACAAUGGUAAAACAAGUCUAGCAACACCACCCGAAUGUGCCAACAAAUCCCGAUAGGAGCUGCACAUAUCUCGUUCUUAGGGCAUACUCAGAUGAGACAUCCUACGAGUAAAACCAACCCUCAAGUUGCCCCGAGGUGGCCCCGCAGUCUACUCGGUCGGACCAACACUCAAAGGAGCACUGGCCAGGGGGGUUUAAAUAAAGAUGACCCUCGGGCUCCGGAAACCCAAGGGAAAAAGAGACUAGGUGGCAAAUGGUAAAACCAAGGUUGGGUAUUGCUCGAGGAGUUUUAUUCAAGGCGAACUGUCAAGGGGUUUCCAUUAUCACCCAACCGCGUAAGGAACGCAAAAUCCGGGAACAUAACACCGAUAUGACGGAAAACUAGGGCGGCAAUGUUGGAAAUAUGCCCUAGAGGCAAUAAUAAAUUAGUUAUUAUUAUAUUUCCUUGUUCAUGAUAAUCGUUUAUUAUCCAUGCUAUAGUUGUAUUGAUAGGAAACUCAAAUACAUGUGUGGAUACAUAGACAACACCAUGUCCCUAGUAAGCCUCUAGUUGACUAGCUCAUUGAUUAAUAAGAUGGUUAUGUUUUCCUGACCAUGGACAUUGGAUGUCAUUGAUAACGGGAUCACAUCAUUAGGAGAAUGAUGUGAUGGACAAGACCCAAUCCUAAGCCUAGCACAAAGAUCAUGUAGUUCGUAUGCUAAAGCUUUUCUAAUGUCAAGUAUCAUUUCCUUAGACCAUGAGAUUGUGCAACUCCCGGAUAUCGUAGGAGUGCUUUGGGUGUGCCAAACGUCACAACGUAACUGGGUGGCUAUAAAGGUACAUUACAGGUAUCUCCGAAAGUGUCUGUUGGGUUGGCACGAAUCGAGACUGGGAUUUGUCACUCGUGUGACAGAGAGGUAUCUCUGGGCCCACUCGGCAGGACAUCAUCAUAAUGUGCACAAUGUGAUCAAGGAGUUGAUCACGGGAUGAUGUGUUACGGAACGAGUAAAGAGACUUGCCGGUAACGGGAUUGAACAAGGUAUCGGGAUACCGAUGAUCGAAUCUCGGGCAAGUAUCGUACCGAUAGACAAAGGGAAUUGUAUACGGGAUUGAUUAAGUCCUUGACAUCGUGGUUCAUCCGAUGAGAUCAUCGUGGAACAUGUGGGAGCCAACAUGGGUAUCCAGAUCCGUUGUUGGUUAUUGGCCGGAGAGUCGUCUCGGUCAUGUCUGCAUGUCUCCCGAACCCGUAGGGUCUACACACUUAAGGUUCGGUGAUGCUAGGGUUAUAGAGAUAUUAGUAUGCGGUAACUUGAAAGUUGUUCGGAGUCCCGGAUGAGAUCCCGGAUGUCACGAGGAGUUCCGGAAUGGUCCGGAGGUAAAGAAUUAUAUAUAGGAAGUGCUAUUUUGGCCAUCGGGACAAGUUUCGGGGUCACCGGUAUUGUACCGGGACCACCGGAAGGGUCCCGGGGGUCCACCGGGUGGGGCCACCUGCCCCGGGGGACCACAUGGGCUGUAGGGGGUGCGCCUUGGCCUAUAUGGGCCAAGGGCACAAGCCCCUAGAGGCCCAUGCGCCAAGAGAUGAGGGAGAGGAAGAGUCCUAAAGGGGGAAGUCACCUCCGAGGUGCCUUGGGGAGGAUGGACUCCUCCCCCCCUUGGCCGCACCCUUCCUUGGAGGAAGGGGCAAGGCUGCGCCCUGCCCCUCUCCCUUGGCCCUAUAUAUAGUGGGGGGAAGGGAGGGCAACCAUACCUAAGCCCUGGCGCCUCCCUCUCCCUCCCAUGACACACCUUCCUCCUCCCGCAGCGCUUGGUGAAGCCCUGUUGGAUUCCCGCUACUUCCACCACCACGCCGUCGUGCUGCUGGAUCUCCAUCAACCUCUCCUUCCCCCUUGCUGGAUCAAGAAGGAGGAGACGUUGCUGCUCCGUACGUGUGUUGAACGCGGAGGUGCCGUCCGUUCGGCGCUAGGAUCAUCGGUGAUUUGAAUCACGACAAGUAUGACUCCAUCAACCCCGUUCUCUUGAACACUUCCGCGUGUGAUCUACAAGGGUAUGUAGAUCCACUCCUCCCUCGUUGCUAGAUGACUCCAUAGAUAGAUCCUGGUGACACGUAGGAAAAUUUUGAAUUUAUGCUACGUUCCCCAAUAGUGGUAUCAGAGCUAGGUCUAUGCAUAGUUUCUAUGCACGAGUAGAACACAAAGUAGUUGUGGGUAUUGAUUUUGUUCAAUAUGCUUACUGUUACUAGUCCAAUCUUGAUUCGGCGGCAUUCUGGGAUGAAGCGGCCCGAACCGACCUUACACGUACUCUUACGUGAGACUGGUUCCACCGACUGACAUGCACUAGUUGCAUAAGGUGGCUAGCGGGUGUCUGUCUCUCCCACUUUAGUCGGAUCGGAUUCGAUGAAAAGGGUCCUUAUGAAGGGUAAAUAGCAAUUGGCAUAUCACGUUGUGGUUUUUGCGUAGGUAAGAAACAUUCUUGCUAGAAACCCAUAGCAGCCACGUAAAACAUGCAAACAACAAUUAGAGGACGUCUAACUUGUUUUUGCAGGGUAUGCUAUGUGAUGUGAUAUGGCCAAAAGGAUGUGAUGAAUGAUAUAUGUGAUGUAUGAGAUUGAUCAUGUUCUUGUAAUAGGAAUCACGACUUGCAUGUCGAUGAGUAUGACAACCGGCAGGAGCCAUAGGAGUUGUCUUAAUUUAUUUAUGACCUGCGUGUCAACAUAAACGUCAUGUAAUUACUUUACUUUAUUGCUAACCGUUAGCUGUAGUAGUAGAAGUAAUACGUUGGCGAGACAACUUCAUGGAGACACAAUGAUGGAGAUCAUGAUGAUGGAGAUCAUGGUGUCAUGCCGGUGACGAUGAUGAUAAUGGAGCCCCGAAGAUGGAGAUCAAAAGGAGCAAUAUGAUAUUGGCCAUAUCAUGUCACUAUUUGAUUGCAUGUGAUGUUUAUCAUGUUUAUACAUCUUAUUUGCUUAGAACGAUGGUAGUAAAUAAGAUGAUCCCUCAUUAAAAUUUCAAGAAAGUGUUCCCCCUAACUGUGCACCGUUGCGAAAGUUCGUCAUUUCGAAGCACCACGUGAUGAUCGGGUGUGAUAGAUUCUUACGUUCACAUACAACGGGUGUAAGACAGAUUUACACACGCGAAACACUUAGGUUGACUUGACAAGCCUAGCAUGUGUACAUACAUGGCCUCGGAACACAGAAGACCGAAAGGUCGAGCAUGAGUCGUAUGGUAGAUACGAUCAACAUGAAGAUGUUCACCGAUGUUGACUAGUCCGUCUCACGUGAUGAUCGGACACGGCCUAGUUAACUUGGAUCAUGUAAUCACUUAGAUGACUGGAGGGAUGUCUAUCUGAGUGGGAGUUCAUAAGAUGAACUUAAUUAUCCUGAACAUAGUCAAAAGGUCUUCGCAAAUUAUGUCGUAGCUCAUGCUUCAGUUCUACUAUUUAGAUAUGUUCCUAGAGAAAAUUUAGUUGAAAGUUGAUAGUAGAAAUUAUGCGGACUAGGUCCGUAAACUGAGGAUUGUCCUCAUUUGCUUCAUAGAAGGCCUAUGUCCUUAAUGCACCGCUCAGUGUGCUGAACCUCGAACGUCGUGUGUGGAUGUUGCGAACAUCUUACAUACACAUUUUGAUAACUACGUGAUAGUUCAGUUAAACGGCUUAGAGUUGAGGCACCGAAGGCGUUUUGAAACGUCACGAAACAUAUGAGAUGUUUCGAGGGCUGAAAUUGGGAUUUCAGGCUCGUGCCCAUGUCAAGAGGUAUGAGACCUCCGACGAUUUUCUUAGCCUGCAAACUAAGGAUAAAAGCUCAAUUGUUGAGCUUGUGCUCAGAUUGUCUGAGUACAACAAUCAUUUGAAUCAAGUGGGAGUUGAUCUUCCAGAUGAAAUAGUGAUGUUUCUCCGAAGUCAUUACCACCAAGCUGCUAGAGCUUCGUGAUGAACUAUAAUAUAUCAGGGACAUAUAUGAUGAUCCUUGAAAUACUCGCGAUGUUUGACACCGCGAAAGUAGAAAUCAAGAAGGAGCAUCAAUUGUUGAUGGUUAGUGAAACCACUAGUUUCAAGAAGGGCAAGGGCAAGAAGGGAUACUUCAUGAAACGGCAAAUCAGCUGCUGCUCUAGUGAAGAAACCCAAGGUCGAACCCAAACCCGAGACUAAGUGCUUCUGCAAUAAGGGGAACAGCCACUGGAGCAGAAUUACCCUAGAUACUUGGUAGAUGAGAAGGCUGGCAAGGUCGAUAGAAGUAUAUUGGAUAUACAUUGUGUUAAUGUGUACUUUACUAGCACUCCUAGUAGCACCAGGGUAUUAGAUACCGGUUCGGUUGCUAAGUGUUAGUAACUCGAAAUAAAAGCUACGGAAUAAAUGGAGACUAGCUAAAGGUGAGAUGAUGAUAUAUGUUGAAAGUAGUUCCAAGGUUGAUCAAAUAUCGUACGCUCCCUCUACCAUCAAGAUUGGUGUUUGCGUUGAGCAUAGAUAUGAUUGGAUUAUGUCUAUCGCAAUACGGUUAUUCAUUUAAGGAGAAUAAUGGUUACUCUGUUUAUUUAAAUAAUACCUUCAAUGGUCUUGCACCUAAAAUGAAUGGUUUAUUGAAUCUCGAUCGUAGUGAUACACAUGUUCAUGCCAAAAGAUAUAAGAUAGUAAUGAUAGUACCACCUACUUGUGGCACUGCCACGUAAGUCAUAUCGGUAUAAAAUGCAUGAAGAAGCUCCAUGUUGAUGGAUCUUUGGACUCACUCGUUUUUUGAAAAGUUUGAGACAUGCGAACCAUGUCUAUUGGUGUAUAUGCAUGAAGAAACUCCAUGCAAAUGGACCGUUUGGACUCACUUGAUUUUGAAUCACUUGAGACAUGCAAAUCAUACCACAUGGGCAAGAUGACUGAAAGCCUCGUUUUUAGUAAAAUGGAACUAGAAAGCAACUUGUUGGAAGUAAUACAUUUUGAUGUGUGCAAUCCAAUGAGUGCUGAGGCAUGUAGUGGAUAUCGUUAUGUUCUUACUUCACAGAUGAUUUGAGUAGAUGUUGAGUAUAUUUACUUGAUGAAUCACGAGUCUGAAUUAUUGAAAGGUUCAAGUAAUUUCAGGGUGUAGUUGAAAGAUCGUCGUGACAAGAGGAUAAAAUAUCUAUGAUAUGAUCAUAGAGAUGAAUAUCUGAAUUACGAGUUUGGCACAGAAUUAAGACAUUGUGGAAGUUGUUUCACAACCAAUACAGCCAGGAACACCAUGGUGUGAUGGUGUGUCCGUACAUCAUAACUGCACCCUAUCGGAUAUGAUGCAUACCAUGAUGUCUCUUAUCGAAUUACCACGAUAGUUUAUGGGUUAGGCAUUAGAGACAACCACAUUCACUUUAAAAGGGGCACCGCGUAAUUCCGAUGAGAUGACACCGUUUAGAGAAACCUAAGCUGUCAUUUCUUAAAAGUUUGGGGCUGCGACGCUUAUGUGAAAAAGUUUCAGGCUGAUAAGCUCAAACCCAAAGCGGAUAAAUGCAUCUUCAUAGGACACCCAAAACAGUUGGGUAUACCUCUUGUCUCAGAUCUGAAAGCAAUAAGGGAUUGUUUCUAGAAUCGGGUCCUUUCUCGAGGAAAAAUUUCUCUCGAAAGAAUUGAGUGGGAGGAUGGUGGAGACUUGAUAAGGUUGUUGAACCGUCUCUUCAACUAGUGUGUGGCAGGGCACAGGAAGUUGUUCCUAUGGCACCUGCACCAAUUGAAGUGGAAGCUUAUGAUAGUGAUCAUGAAACUUCAGAUCAAGUCACUACCAAACCUCGUGGGAUGACAAGGAUGCGUACUACUCAGAGUGGUACGUAAUCCUGUCUUGGAAGUCAUGUUGCUAGACAACAAUGAACCUACGAGCCAUGGAGAAGCGAUGGUGGGCCCGGAUUCCGAUAAAUGGCUCGAGGCCAUAAAAUCCGAGAGAGGAUCCAUGUAUGGAAACAAAGUGUAGACUUUGACAGAACAACUCAAUGGUCGUGAGGCUGUUGAGUACAGAUGGAUUUUAAAAGGAAGACGGACAAUGAUGGUAAAUGUCACCAUUAAGAAAGCUCGACUUGUCGUUAAGAUGUUUUCCGACAAGUUCAAGGAGUUGACUAUGAUGAGACUUUCUCACUCGUAGCGAUGCUAAGAGUCUGUUGGAAUUAUAUUAGCGAUUACUGCAUUAUUUAUGAAAUCUUGCAGAUAGGAUGUCAAAACAUUGUUUCCUCGACGAUUUUCUUGAGGAAAGGUUGUAUGUGAUACAACUGGAAGGUUUUGUCAAUCCUGAAAGAUGCUAAUAAGUAUGCAAAGCUCCAACAAUCCUUCUAAGGACUGGAGUAAGCAUCUCGGAGUUGGAAUGUAUUCUUUGAUGAGAUGAUCAAAGAUUUUGGGUGUAUACAAUGUUUAUGAGAAACUUGUAUUUCCAAGGAAGUGAGUGGGAGCACUAUAGAAUUUCUGAUGAGUAUAUGUUGUUGACAUAUUAUGGAUCAGAAAUGAUGUAGAAUUUCUGGAAAGCAUAUAGGGUUAUUUGAAAAGUGUUUUUCAAUGGAAAGCCUGGAUUAAGCUACUUGAACGUUGAGCAUCAAGAUCUAUAAGGAUAGAUCAAAACGCUUAAUGGUACUUUCAAAUGAGCACAUACCUUGACAUGAUCUUGAAGGUGUUCAAGAUGGAUCAGCCAAAGAAGGAGUUCUUGCCUGAGUUGUAAGGUAUGAAGUUAAGACUUAAAGCUCGACCACGGCAGAAGAAAGAGGAAGGAUGAAGGUCGUCCCCUAUGCUUUUGUCAUAGGCACUCUAUAGUAUGCUAUGCUGUGUGCCGCACCUGAAGUGUGCCUUGCCAUGAGUCAGUCAAGGGGUACAAGAGUGAUCCAAGAAUGGAUCACAGGACAGCGGUCAAAGUUAUCCUUAGUAACUAGUGGACUAAGGAAUUUUCUCGAUUAUGGAGGUGGUAAAAGAGUUCGUCGUAAAGGGUUACGCCGAUGCAAACUUUGACACUAAUCCAGAUUAUUCUGAGUAGUAAACUGGAUUCGUAUAGUAGAACAUUUAUUUGGAAUAGCUCCAAAUAGAACGUGAUAGCUGCAUCUAGGAGAUGCCAUAGAGAUUUGCGAAGUACAUACGGAUCUGAAUGUUGCAGACCCGUUGACUGAAACCUCUCUCACAAGCAACAUGAUCAAACCCAGAACUCAUUGAGUGUUAAUCACAAAGUGAUGUGAACUAGAUUAUUGACUCUAGUAAACUCUUUGGAUGUCGGUUACAUGGCGAUGUGACCUAUGAGUGUUGAUCACAUGGCAAUGUGAACUAGAUUAUUGACUCUAGUGCAAGUGGGAGACUGUUGGAAAUAUGCCCUAGAGGCAAUAAUAAAUUAGUUAUUAUUAUAUUUCCUUGUUCAUGAUAAUCGUUUAUUAUCCAUGCUAUAAUUGUAUUGAUAGGAAACUCAGAUACAUGUGUGGAUACAUAGACAACACCAUGUCCCUAGUAAGCCUCUAGUUGACUAGCUCGUUGAUCAAUAAGAUGGUUACGGUUUCCUGACCAUGGACAUUGGAUGUCAUCGAUAACGGGAUCACAUCAUUAGGAGAAUGAUGUGAUGGACAAGACCCAAUCCUAAGCCUAGCACAAAGAUCGUGUAGUUCGUAUGCUAAAGCUUUUCUAAUGUCAAGUAUCAUUUCCUUAGACCAUGAGAUUGUGCAACUCACGGAUACCGUAGGAGUGCUUUGGGUGUGCCAAACGUCACAACGUAACUGGGUGGCUAUAAAGGUACAUUACAGGUGUCGGUGUACUAGAAUAGGGGUACCCUAGUACCCCGAACUUGUGCACGGGCAGUUGCAGCACCCCACGGCAAGGCUUGCCGGGCGAACGCCAAGAUCCUCCAUGGUUCCCUUGGAGCCAUUCAAGAACAAAGUAUUUAAGCUCAGGAGACAAGGCCCCGGCAAGAGGAGCUUGCCGGGAAGGCCAACCAAGGCACUCCAAGGAACUUGCCGCGACGCGCCACGCGCUCCGGCAAGGCAACAAGGCCCCGGCAAGAGGAGUUUGCCGGGAAGACCAACCAAGGUACCUCGAGGCCAGGAGAGCGACAAGCUUCCGGACCUGACAAGAUAACAACAGCGGCAAGGCGCUUGCCGCGGCAGGCGGCCACUCUGUGCCCGUGCUCCAGCGCAUCCACCAACGUGUCGCUCUGGGGGCCUCUCCAGGCGCGCGUGGCGGGAGGCUGUGCAGCCAGCGGUGCGCAGUGGCAUGCGAAGCUGACAAGAUCGCCAUCAUGGCGAACGGUGGCGCCCCUAACGGUCCUUUUCUGCACUGUUUGGGUGACUCAGACGGGCCUUUAAUGCCCUUGUCCCCUGCCGUCAGGGUUAGGUAGGGUGCACUGUACAAGCAACUGUACCAACCACCUCACUUUUUACGUUUAUACCCUCCUCUGCGUUGCCACCUGUCGGUGACCCCUUUAGCGUAUAAAAGGAGGCCCAUGCGCAACGUAGAGGGGGUUCGGAUAGUUCGCUUCGAUUCAUUCGUAGCCCAGAAAACACCACGCUCUCUCUCGAGAGCAAGAACACAAGGUAAUACAACCAGACAAGCAGCAGUAGGAGUGUUAUCUCUCCGGAGAGCUUCGAAGCUGGGUAAACUGCUCGUGUGCUUCGCCUCGAUCCGCUCUUCGUGCUAUCUCCGCCCCCCACUGAACCGAAAGGGGCCCGGUCUGCCGGCCCCAUAGGUGACCGUGGAUCAGUUUCCCCCGACAUCUUUGGCGUGCCAGGUAGGGGGCGUCGAGAUUGUGUGAACCUGAUUCGGCGUUCACACGAGCUAGAUCUUCAUUCCCUUCAUCAACAUGCCACCGAAGAAGAAGACUUCGGCGGCAGCCGCUCCGUCCACGUCACUUCCGCCACCGUUGGAGCAAACGGGUGGUGGAAUGGACGCCGGCAAAAGAAUGGACGUCGACGAGGAAGCUCAUGAUGCCGCCAGGUCCAAGAACAAGGCUGCACAAACCUCGGCGACUGUACAUGUUCCACGCCACUCUCAGGAGGCGCAAGAUCAACAGCGUCAUGGCACUAGCAGUGCCAUACGCAUGAUAGGCCAAGACCAAGCUGGUGGAUCUCGGGGCACUCAAGACCAACAUGCACGCCAGCGUGCUGGCACGAGCGGGACACGGUCGCCUGGACGGGAUACUGCUCCUUCUAACAUAGUUAGAAGUUCGAGCACGUCCCGCUCCUCGCGCCGUACGCCACUGCCACCCACCACUCCAGCAGAAGCUUUGGCACGAGCUCAACUUCUCCUAGAUUACCCUCCGACAUCGGACAAGAUCGACGAAUGGAGGGCCACCAUUCAGAGUCUCAUCGGCUAUGCCAACGGCGACACUCCACGGCGGCCGAGCGCGUCGCCGCCGCGACAGGGUUGCCGGACGCGAGCCGGUGGCGACGAAACGGGCGGAGGCGCAACUACCAUGCAACCACCGCCCGGAAGGCCAAGAUCGCCAACUCGCCGGAUCCACCUCGACAGCGACUCCACUGCAUCGUCGGAUCCACGAGCUCGUCGCGAUCAGCGCCAAGUUCUUCAUGAUCGACAACAAGAAGACGCUCGAACCCGCAUCAAGCGCCGAAGAGAAGCGCGACGUCAAUCCGACAAGCGCGCUGGGCCCUCUGUUGACAUGCAUGCGCCAGGGGAACCAGGCGAUCUGCCGUACGCGGUAGGUUGUCCUGCGUUCACUCGUGAUCUGCGGCAAGUCCAGUGGCCCAGCACAAAGAACUUCAAGCCAGACGUACCGGAGAAGUACGACGGCAAGACGCAUCCGUCGGAGUUCCUCAGCAUCUACACCAUUGCGGUACAGGCUGCUGGGGGACGAGAUGACAAGAUCCUUGGCAACUACUUCCCGCUGGUGCUCAAGCCCAACGUCAGAUCCUAGCUCAUGCACUUGCCGGACAACUCCAUAUCCUCUUGGGCUGAUCUGUGCCAUCAGUUUGUCGGCGCCUUCACAGGCGGACACAAGCCUCAUGGCCAGGAGAGUGAUCUUCAUCUGCUCGCCCAGAAGGAAGGAGAGCCCCUGCGCAAGUACAUUCAGAGAUUCAGUAGUGUGCAGCACAACAUCCCAGACGUCCACCCUACCGUGGUGAUCAGCGCGUUCCAUCAGAACGUGCGAAACUGCAGGAUGCGGGAGGAAAUGGUGAUGUGCAAGAUCAGGGACGUCAGUGAGUUAUAUGCACUGGCCGACAAGUGUGCACGCGCUGAGGAAGGGAGGAGACUCCCCGGAGAAAAUAUAGGAGCGGGAGGAUCUGACAGUGAAGAUGCUGCCCCGACAAGGAAAAACCGGCGGCGGAACAAUAGAAGGAGGAAAAGCAAAGAAGUGCUAGUUGUUGAGCAGUCCGGCAACAGUGGUGGCGCCAAGGAAGCCAAAGCUGGUGACUCCGGCAAGGAGGUUGCCGUGGAGGUGGCGGUCGCCAACAAGCAGGACAGCACCAACAAGCAGUAUUGCAAGAUUCACCGCACCAAGGGCCAUGAUCUCCAGAACUGUAAGAAAGUCGAACAGCUUGUUGAGCAACAAAAAGCUGAAUACGAGCGGCGCGACAAGGAGAAGGCCCAGGAAGGAGCUGGUGGAUCCGGCAAGAAACGUCCCGGCCGAGGAGGACGCCGCGGCAAGGCCAAGCAGCGGCAAGGAGACAGACCUCCUCGCGGCCGCGACAAGGAUGAAGAUGACGACGACGAUGAAGACAUGGAUGAUGAGGAGACUGAUGAGCAGGAGUUCCAGAAAGCCAUAGAGGUCCUGUGCGUUGACGGUGGUGCUUCUCUGCAUGCCUCGCACCGCCAGCUCAAGCAGUGGGUGCGGGAAGUUAAUGCAGCAGAACCACCCGUUGAGUCACGCAAGCCUCUGAAAUGGUCCGGCACGCCUAUCAUCUUCGACAUUGAGGACCAUCCUGAUCGCAUAACUGCAGUCGGGUGCUUGCCGAUGCUGGUUUCACCAACAAUCCGCAACCUCAAGGUCACUAAGAUGCUAGUUGACGGCGGGGCUGGCUUGAACCUGAUCUCCUCCGCGGUGCUUCACAAACUCCAGAUCCCUGACAGCGAGCUCGAAGAGACCGGUACAUUUCAAGGAAUCAACCCGGGAAGGAGCAAGCCGAAGGGAAAGAUCAGGUUGCCGAUAACAUUUGGCAGCGAGCUAAACUUCAGGACUGAGAGGGUCACGUUCAACGUUGCCGACUUUCCAUUAUCUUACAAUGGAAUCCUUGGCCGACCGACACUCACCAAGUUCAUGGCAGCCUCUCACUAUGCGUACAACAUACUAAAAAUGCCAGGCCCGAUAAGUGUCAUCUCUGUCCCUGGCGACAAGAAGGAUGCUCUUAUCUGUGCCGACAAGAUCUACCGGGAAGCAGCAGCCGCAGCAGAACGCAGGACACUUGCCGCUGAAGCUCCCGGGGGGAAGAAGAAGACCAAGUCCGGCAAGAGCUCUGAUGCCCACUCCGGCAAGCGCACCUCUUCGGAGUGCUGCGCUACCGUCGAGGACGCACCAUCGAGCUCCACCGGCAAGCGUAAGAAGGCAAUGGCAGCUCCACCUGAGACCAAGAAGGUGUCCGCCAAGGAGGGCGGCACUGGUGGUACCUUCACCAUCAGCGCCACUCUUGACCCCAAAUAGGAAAGUGCGCUCGUUGCUUUCCUGCGGGCGAAUGUCGACGUGUUUGCGUGGCCACCAUCUGAUAUCCCCGGUGUUCCCAGGAAAGUAAUUGAGCACCACCUUGCCGUCUGUCCUCAUGCGCGGCCCAUCAAGCAGAGAGUCAGGAAGCAGGCAGUAGAGCGCCAAGAAUUCAUCGCAGAAGAAAUCAAGAAGUUGGAAGCAGCAGGCCUUGUCAGAGGAGUGCUCCAUCCCACGUGGUUGGCCAAUCCUGUUGUUGUGCGCAAGGCUAACGGGAAAUGGAGACUUUGUAUUGACUUCACUGAUGUUAAUAAAUCUUGUCCCAAAGACCCAUUUCCCUUGCCGCAUAUUGACCAGAUUGUUGACUCCACAGCCGGAUGUGAUUUGCUUUCAUUUCUUGAUGCAUACUCAGGAUACCAUCAAAUCUUCAUGGCAGAAGAAGAUGAAGAGAAAACCGCAUUUAUCACCCCGUGUGGCACGUACUGCUUCGUACGGAUGCCUUUCGGUUUGAAGAAUGCCGGUUCAACAUUCGCAAGGGUAGUCCACCACGCUUUUAAGCUGCAGAUGCACAGAAAUGUGGAAGCCUACAUGGAUGACAUAGUGGUCAAGAGCAAGAACAGGGCGACCCUGAUUCAAGAUUUAGACGAGACAUUUGCAAAUCUGCGCAAGAUCAACCUCAAGCUUAACCCCGAGAAGUGCGUGUUUGGGGUCCCCUCCGGCAAGCUUCUCGGGUUCUUCGUGUCUCGGCGAGGAAUUGAAGGCAAUCCUGACAAGAUCAAGGCCAUUGAGCAGAUCGAAGCACCAAAGCGCGUCAAGGAUGUACGAAGGCUUGCCGGUUGCGUGGCUGCUCUCAGCAGGUUUAUCUCUAGAUCUGCUGAGCGCGCCCUGCCAUUUUUCAAAAUUUUGAAAAAGGCAGGUCCAGUAAAAUGGACUCCGGAAGCGGAGGCUGCGCUGCAGGACUUGAAGAGAUACCUGUCCUCCACUCCAACGCUUGUCGCACCUAAGCCGCAAGAGAAGUUGCUACUGUAUAUAGCGGCAACCAAUCAAGUGGUUAGUGCUGCGUUAGUGGCAGAGAGGGAGGCAGAUGAUGAGCCAGCAACCACGGCAGAUCCGUCCAGCGACAAGCAGGGGGCUUCGCCGACAAGCUCUGGUCCCGACAAACAUGGGUUUGCGCAGGAGCAUGAUAAGAUGCCGAAGAGAAUGGUGCAGCGCCCAGUUUACUUUGUCAGUUCUCUUCUGCAGGGGGCUAGAUCAAGGUACUCUGGUGUGCAGAAGUUGCUUUUCGGCCUCCUCAUGGCCUCGAGAAAGCUGCGCCAUUACUUCCAAGCACAUGAGAUCACAGUCGUCACUCGCUUUCCGCUGAAGAGGAUACUGCAAAAUCCAGAAGCAACAGGCAGGAUUGUCGAGUGGGCGCUGGAACUGUCAAGCUUUGGCCUCAAGUUUGAGAGCACUUCAACUAUCCAAAGCAGAGCAUUGGCAGAGUUCAUAGCAGAGUGGACGCCAACCCCAAAUGAAGAAAUUCCAGAAAUGAGCAUCCCCGUCAAAGAGGCAAGCAAAGAGUGGCUGAUGUACUUUGAUGGUGCCUUCUCGCUGCAAGGCGCCGGUGCAGGCGUGCUGCUUGUCGCACCCACCGGAGAGCACCUCAAGUACGUAGUCUAGAUGCACUUUCCCAAAGAGCAAGCAACCAACAAUACUGCAGAGUAUGAAGGAUUGCUUGCCGGUCUCAGAAUCGCAGCAGACCUUGGGAUCAAGAAGCUCAUUGUCAGGGGUGACUCACAGCUUGUCAUCCGACAAGUGAACAAGAACUACCAGAGUCCAUUGAUGGAAGCAUAUGUUGAUGAAGUGAGGAAGCUAGAAGAGCACUUUGACGGCCUACAAAUGGAGCAUAUCCCAAGAGCUCAGAAUGACAUUGCUGAUGGCCUGUCAAAGUGCGCCGCACUAAAGUUACCUAUGGAACCAGGGAUCUUUGUGCUUAAGUUGACUCAACCAUCCGUAACACCAUCAACUGGACAAAGCAAGAAGAGGAAGUUGGUUUCUGGUGACUACUUUCCGGCAGAGCUCCCCGAAGCCGCCGCCAAGAAAGUCCCCAAGAUCAACACCAAGGAGGCUGAGGGGCAGUCUGCUCCGGCAAGCCUUAUGGUUUGUUCCGUUGAAGCAGACGCUCCCGACAAGUUUUGCUCCGGCAAGCUUGCCGGGGAACAUCAAGCUCCGGCAGGACCACAAGUCCUUGCCGUGGAAGCGGAUGUUCCCGCAGCAGCAGAUGUGCCUUUAGUCCUUGUUGUCGAGCCACAAGCUCCAGCAUGGGCACAGCAGAUUGUCCACUUCCUUCAGACAGGAGAACUUCCCGAAGAACAAGAAGAAGCGGAAAGAGUAGCCCGACAGUCAAGUAUGUACCAGUUUGUCGAUAGCAUACUGUACAGAAGAAGACUCAACGGUGUGAAAUUGAAGUGUAUUCUCCGGGAAGAUGGACAAAAGCAGUUGGCAGAGAUACAUGGAGGCAUAUGUGGCCACCACAUUGGCGCAAGAGCACUUGCCGGCAAAGCUUUCCGGCAAGGUUUCUUUUGGCCGACAGCCCUCCAGGAUGCAACUGCACAAGUAACCAAGUGUGAAGCGUGCCAGUUCCACUCCAAACAGAUACACCAGCCAGCUCAAGCUCUCCAGACGAUCCCUUUAUCCUAGCCAUUUUCGGUCUGGGGGCUCGAUAUCCUCGGCCCCUUCCCCCGAGCUAUCGGGGGCUUUGAGUACUUGUACGUUGCAAUCGACAAGUUCACAAAGUGGCCGGAAGUGCAGCCAGUGAGGAAGGUGACAGCACAGUCAGCAGUCAAGUUCUUCAGGUCAAUUGUUUGCCGUUUCGGGAUCCCUAACAGGAUCAUCACCGACAACGACACGCAAUUCACGAGCCGCACCUUCAUGCAGUACGUCCAAGACCUUGGCGCCAAGGUCUGCUUCGCUUCUGUUGCUCAUCCGAGAAGCAACAGUCAAGCAGAGAGGGCAAAUGUUGAAGUGCUGCGCAGGCUCAAGACCAGAACUUUCGACAGGCUGCACAAGUGCGGAAGGAACUGGAUCGAGGAGCUGCCGGUGGUUCUUUGGUCGAUCAGAACGACGCCAAAUCGAGCCACUGGCCAGACACCUUUUGCUCUAGUCUAUGGAGCAGAGGCAGUUCUCCCCACGGAACUUGUAUACGGAUCACCUCGAGUGCUCGCUUAUGAUGAGCUUGAGCAAGAACAGCUGCGACAAGACGACGCGCUGCUCCUUGAGGAAGAUCGUCUUCAAGCUGCUGUACGAGAUGCUCGAUACCAGCAAGCUUUGCGUCGCUAUCAUAGCCACAAAGUUAAAGCCAGAAGCUUCGAGGAAGGCGACCUUGUUCUUCGGCGCGUUCAGUCUGCCAAGAAUUCCAGCAAGUUGACGCCGAAGUGGGAAGGCCCUUAUCGGGUGAAAUGAGUCACAAGGCCCGACGCUGUCCGCCUUGAGACUGAAGAUGGCAUUCCGGUGAGCAACUCCUGGAACAUAGAACAUCUUCGUAAGUUUUUCCCGUAGGGCGCGGUUGCCGGAACCCGUUCCGGCAACCACCUUUUGUACAAGUCUUGCCGUUGUUGCAUGUAAUCCUUUGUACAAAGCCGAGCGCAGAUCCCGUGCAUAAGUAAAACCCCAUGUGCUCCGCACAACUUGUCCAUUUCAUGCAUUAGUUUCUUUCUUGCAUGUGAUUAUCUGACACUUUGUGCAGCACCUACAUCCGGUAAGUACUAACGAGCCGAAGGGCUCCAUAUCAUUAUUUUCUAUUCUUUCUUCUUUUCAACAAAGGAAAAGAAGGUUCCCCCGCACACAUGUUUGCCGGGGGAGGAUUAGAGAAGAUUGUGGUAUGGACCAGGCGUCGUUCAAGCGAAGUCCUGCCUUGCCGGGAAGCAAACGACAGAAAAGCUAAGUUGCCAAAGUUUGAGCAAUCACUUUUUAAAUUUUUGAGUUAUCUUCCUCGAACGACCCUGCUUUGUAUGGAAAACCUGUGCGCGGAGGAACCAACUCGUGGCUAGUUGCUCCCUUACUUUGUUUCGAGUCCGCUCAACAGCUUAAGCGUGCUGCAUCUAGUCGCGACAAGGUUUCUUGUCAGAAGCAGCGCCGCCAGCAGGCUGCUGAAGUUCCGCACUCAUCGCUCGCGGCUCGGGUGCCUGCGCCGACAAGUUCCCUAGAAGCGUAGGGUGAAAACAUACAAAGGAAGGAAUCUAGUAGAGGAAAUAACAUAGCAAUUGAUAAUAGAAAUAAAGUUAUAUUACAAGAUAACUUGUCGUAGCUCUAACAGACUGUUUUCAUAACAUGAUUAGCAGCGACAAGGGAAAAGAAGAAAUGGGCGGCCUAGUCUACGCGUCCGCCCUCGACCCUCUUGAUCUCGCUCACCUUGUCCACAAUGGGUGCGACAAGGGCCUUGAGUGCAUCCAGAUCGGCGUCAGGCGGCAAGGACCUGAGGACGUUGGUGAAGCUGAGGCCUGGAUUGCGGAAGGCUACCUUCAUCAGCACCUUCUGGAGAACCCCGGCGCAGAUUUUGCGCGACUCGUCGGCCAGCUGCUUUGGGAUCCUCUCCUGGAGCCACUGGAGUGCCGUCGCCACGCCCUUGAAGAACAGGCUGAGCUUGGCGCUGGGUUGAAGACUCUCGUCGGAAGGAUACCCAAAGUCCUCCAUCCCCAGCUGCGCCAGCUCCUCGUUGAUGACUGCGGCAAUGUUCACCAGACCCUCGGUCCAGUGCUCCACAGUGUCUCUGAACGAGUUCUGGGUAACUGCAAUGCUCUCCAGCAGCGCCGCGUCAGCCUUGCCCUUCUCCGACAAGGUCUUCUCCCGCUCCUUGGCGGCCUCCAGCGUCUGCGUCAGCGUGGCCAGCUUCAGCUCCAGGUCUACUUUGGAAUCCUUGGCGGCGCUGAGCUCCUUGCCCCUCUCAGCGAGAAGACCUUGCAGCUCACCAUGGGCGGCAUCAUCCUUCUCACACUCACGCUUGAGCGCGUCAAGCUCCUCGCCGCUCUUCCCAAUGUUGGCCUCCAGCUGCGCCACCUUGUCCUCCAGCUCUUUCUUGGCGGCCUCUGCAAUUGCCGCAGCGUCCUUGGCCUCCUUGAGCGCCCCGCCAAGUGCUUGCUCGCGCUCGGCGAGCUCUUCCUCGUAGCUGUCGAGGUUGGCCUUCCGCUGCACUAGUUCACCUUCCCACGCGGACUGCUUCUCGGCGGCCAGCCUUUGCUCCUCCUCAGCCUCGGCCUUCUCGAGAAGGAAGGCCGUGCGCUCCUUGUCGAGUCGCUCCCGCUCCUGCGCCAGGGACCGGAGAGCUUCUUGAUUUUGGCCCCGGAGCUCCUCCGCACGCUUCUCCAUGUCAACUCCCGCCUUCGCGACAAGCGCUUCCCGGGAAGCUAGUUUGGCUUGCCGGGCGCGGUAGAGUGACAGCAGCUUCCGCAGCAGCUGCUCCUACUCAGGCUCGCCGCAGCUGCUGCUGGGCGCGUCGACCAAUGACAGUCCAACAGAGGCGAGCACCUCCCCGUCGAAAGUUUCCCCCUUGACUGGCGCCCUGGAGCUCAACGCCCAGGGUAGCUUGAUGAAGAUACCGUUGCCGGCCUUCAAGUAGGCGCCGGGCUGGGGCUCCUCAGAGCCCGGCUCCGCAGAAGCAACAGAGGGAUCGGCGGUUGGUGCAGCGCCUGGCGCUCCUGCGGCCUCAGGGUCGUCAGUGCGAUCGCCCGACCCCUCGCCGGCUUCUGCGGCGGCAGCCCUGGCGGCCUCCUCGCCGGCGGCCUCGUCAGCACCGGCCCCUUCCUCGCCGGCGCCCUCUGUCUCCAUUGGCUCAGCCGCAGAUGGGUUUGAAGAACGAAGAAGGGAGAAAAAUCAAUCCAAAAUCCAAGAGAAGAAAAUCAGAAGAAGAAGAACCCAAGGGAAAGUUUCUGGGCAAGUGGAUUACCUAUGCCAAGAUCUGCAGUUGCGGCCUCGGUCGCCGCAGGAUCAACGGUGCCGUCCCUUGCCGGAGAGCUGCCCCUUGCCGGAGAGUUCUCCCUUGCCGGAGAGCGCUCCCUUACCGGGAACCCCUCCCUUGGCGGCGUAGUCGAAGCAGAUGGCACCUCGGGACCAGCUUCCGGGCGCUCCUGAUGUGGUUACUCUGCUCCUACACAAAUUAACAAGCAAGAUAUCAACAAAGGAAGAAGCACUCAAGCGCGCCCGGCAGCAGAAGGCUAAACUAUGAACUUACGCUGAGGGCUGCGCUGGGGGCUGCUUUGAGGAGUGAUUGCCGGGUCCGUCAAGGUGGCCUCGGGCCCACCACCUACUGACACGGUGGGGUCAUCCUCGAUGACAAUCACCGCGGCCUUGGCCCUCUUCGCCGCUCUCUGGGCCAGCGUCCUGAAAAGAAAGGAGUCCAGAUUGAAGCAAGUCAGAUACAAGAUAAAAACAGCAAGAUUGAAGAACUAUAAGAGCACCAAAGAAUCUUACUCUUCUUCCUCCUCGUCGGAGCUGAGCGCGGAAAGAUCGAAGUCCGGCUCCCCUCUGGUGCGGUGAGGCGGAGGAGUAGGAUCCCUUGCCCGCUUGGCGAGGGCGGUGGCGGUGGCCCGGGAAGAUCCCGCUCCAGUUGCCGCUGCUGCGUGAGGCGCUCCCGCGGCAACAUGACUUGCCGCGGUAGAGCGUGUCGCACGGCUUGGCGGCUGUUGAGCCGGCUGCCGCCCCGCUACGUCCGCGGCCCUGCGAAGACGCCUUCUUGGCGGGGCCGGGGGCUCCGCCUCCGGCAAGCCUUCUGAGGGCUCGGGCUCUUGCUCGCCGGCCUCGCUCGGCUCGGCUUCAGAACCGGCAAGCUCUUCCUCGCCAAUGAACUCCGGGCGCUCGGCAAGGUUUGCUGCCUCUGCAGCCUCCGCCUCCUCCACAGUGAACCCGAACGCGCCCGCGGCAGCUGCGGCCGCAACCUCUUCCGCCCUAGUGGCGAUGCGCUGCAGCUCCUUGUCGGUGGUGUCACGGGUGAGGCUCUUCUGCUCAUCAGCGUGGACCGGCACUUCCUACAAGGUGUCGAAGAACGCUCGCACAACAUCAUCCGUAGGCUCUUGCCAAGUUGGGACGAUUCCGUGUGAAUCGCACAACGGCAUCAUGGCGCGGAUCCGGUCAAGCGAAGAGUUAUUGCACAAAGGAACUACGCCCCUCGGCAGUGUGAAUGGGUGCUGGGGGUCGCGUUUGAACAACUCCAGAAGCAUCGCAUCCAGCUCCAGGACGGUGAAGUUGUAGUUGAGGCCUGGCCGCAGCCUCAUGAUGUCCGCUGAAUUCUUGAAUUCCCAGGCGGGCCUCCCCCUCUCCUGCAGGGGGGCAAUGCAGCGGCGGAGGAAAUCUUCCCCAACAGCACCUACAGUGAGCCCGGCAAGCCUGAGGCGAAGAAUCCUAGUGAUGGCGAUCUUCAGCCUCUCGUCUUCCGGGGCCAUGUUGCUCCAGUCAUUGCCGCACACUAUCGGAGCUUGGCACACGGCGGUGAAGGGCUGCAGAUUCUCCUCAACGAUUCAGCACCACUCCGCUCUCCACUCCUCCCACUUGCUGCGGAGCUCACCCUCCAAGUACGCCUCUUUCUUGGCGACUCUCGAGAUCCAGGCAAUCCCUCCGGCAAGCGGCUCUCCUCUCUCUACCCGAGGUAUGAAGAAGUGGCGGCAAAGGGCAACACUAGGGUGGACUCCGACAAAGUUUUCGCACAAAUGUGCGAAAACUGCCAUGGUCAGCACAGCGUUGGGGGUGAAGUCAAGAAGGCGGAAGCCAUAUGUGUUCAUAAUAUCACAGAAGAACUCCGAGAAGGGCGGGCAGAGCCCGUAGUAGAAGAAUAGCGUGAAGAACGGGUACCCGUUUGGAGCCAGCUCCGAAGCAGCGGCCGGGAGUACCCUCGUGCGCGGAUGCGCCCGCGUCUCCGUCGCCCAGAAGAGGAAGAAGUACUCCCUCAGGUCCUUCGCGCCGAGCUGGGGGGUGAAGAUCGCCCGCUCCUUCCACAGCGCCGCGAGCCGCUGCGCCUCGGCCGACUUCACGCCCUUUCCCUUGUCGGCUUUCGGAGCCAUGGCGGAGGUGGUGGGGAAGGUCGCGUUGGUGAUGCUGGUGGCAAUGGGGGGGGGUGGGCGGAGUGCUGCUCUCUCGGCUUCGAGAAGAAGGGGGAGCGGUGGAGUUUCUUGAAGAUGAAGUAGCAGCAACCAGCGAGGGGGAACGAACUGCCCCUGUUUCCUCUGCUUAUAAAGAGGGACGGGGUGGACGUUUCGCCCUUCCGAAUAAACAACCACCCACGAUCUCUCCCACGAUGCCGCAUUCAACGCGUGCCGUUAUGGGAGAGCGCGGUGGAUACGGAGCGAGAUUCGGCGUGGCCCAGCCCGCGUGUGCCCGUGCCCUGUCUUGGGCCUGGCCCAACAGCGCUCGGCACCGUGUCUGGCCCAGGCCCGGGGGCUCCUGUCGGUGUACUAGAAUAGGGGUACCCUAGUACCCUGAACUUGUGCACGGGCAGUUGCAGCACCCCGCGGCAAGGCUUGCCGGGCGAACGCCAAGAUCCUCCAUGGUUCCCUUGGAGCCAUUCAAGAACAAAGUAUUUAAGCUCAGGAGACAAGGCCCCGGCAAGAGGAGCUUGCCGGGAAGGCCAACCAAGGCACUCCAAGGAACUUGCCGCGAUGCGCCACGCGCUCCGGCAAGGCAACAAGGCCCCGACAAGAGGAGUUUGCCGGGAAGACCAACCAAGGUACCUCGAGGCCCGGAGAGUGACAAGCUUCCGGACCCGACAAGAUAACAACAGCGGCAAGGCGCUUGCCGCGGCAGGUGGCCACUCUGUGCCCGUGCUCCAGCGCAUCCACCAACGUGUCGCUCUGGGGGCCUCUCCAGGCGCGCGUGGCGGGAGGCUGUGCAGCCAGCGGUGCGCAGUGGCAUGCGAAGCUGUCAAUAUCGCCAUCAUGGCGAACGGUGGCGCCCCUAACGGUCCUUUUCUGCACUGUUUGGGCGACUCAGACAUGCCUUUAAUGCCCUUGUCCCCUGCCGUCAGGGUUAGGUAGGGUGCACUGUACAAGCAACUGUACCAACCACCUCACUUUUUACGUUUAUACCCUCCUCUGCGUUGCCACCUGUCGGUGACCGCUUUAGCGUAUAAAAGGAGGCCCAUGCGCAAUGUAGAGGGGGUUCGGACAGUUCGCUUCGAUUCAUUCGUAGCCCAGAAAACACCACGCUCUCUCUCGAGAGCAAGAACACAAGGUAAUACAACCAGACAAGCAGCAGUAGGAGUGUUACCUCUCCGGAGAGCUCCGAAGCUGGGUAAACUGCUCGUGUGCUUCGCCUCGAUCCGCUCUUCGUGCUAUCUCCGCCCCCCACCGAACCGAAAGGGGCCCGGUCCACCGGCCCCAUAGGUGAUCGUGGAUCAGUUUCCCCCGACAACAGGUAUCUCCAAAAGUGUCUGUUGGGUUGGCACGAAUCGAGACUGGGAUUUGUUACUCCGUGUGACGGAGAGGUAUCUCUGGGCCCACUCGGUAGGACAUCAUCAUAAUGUGCACAAUGUGAUCAAGGAGUUGAUCACGGGAUGAUAUGUUACGGAACAAGUAAAGAGACUUGCUGGUAACGAGAUUGAACAAGGUAUCGGGAUACCGACUAUCGAAUCUCAGGCAAGUAUCGUACUGAUAGACAAAGGGAAUUGUAUACGAGAUUGAUUAAGUCCUUGACAUCGUAGUUCAUCUGAUGAGAUCAUCGUGGAACAUGUGGGAGCCAACAUGGGUAUCCAGAUCCCGCUGUUGGUUAUUGGCCGGAGAGUCAUCUCGGUCAUGUCUGCAUGUCUCCCGAACCCGUAGGGUCUACACACUUAAGGUUCGAUGACGCUAGGGUUAUAGAGAUAUUAGUAUGCGGUAACCCUAAAGUUGUUUGGAGUCCCGGAUGAGAUCUCGGACGUCACGAGGAGUUCCGGAAUGGUCCAGAGGUAAAGAAUUAUAUAUAGGAAGUGCUAUUUCGGCCAUCGGGACAAGUUUCAGGGUCACCGGUAUUGUACCGGGACCACCGGAAGGGUCCCGGGGGUCCACCGGGUGGGGCCACCUGCCCCGGGGGACCACAUGGGCUGUAGUGGGUGCGCCUUGGCCUAUAUGGGCCAAGGGCACCAGCCCCUAGAGGCCCAUGCGCCAAGAGAUGAGGGAGAGGAAGAGUCCUAAAGGGGGAAGGCACCUCCGAGGUGCCUUGCGGAGGAUGGACUCCUCCCCCCCUUGGCCGCACCCUUCCUUGGAGGAAGGGGCAAGGCUGCGCCCUCCCCCUCUCCCUUGGCCCUAUAUAUAGUGGGGGGAAGGGAGGGCAACCAUACCUAAGCCCUGGCGCCUCCCUCUCCCUCCCAUGACACACCUUCCUCCUCCCACAGCGCUUGGCAAAGCCCUGUUGGAUUCCCGCUACUUCCACCACCACGCCGUCGUGCUGCUGGAUCUCCAUCAACCUCUCCUUCCCCCUUGCUGGAUCAAGAAGGAGGAGACGUCGCUGCUCCGUACGUGUGUUGAACGCGGAGGUGCCGUCAGUUUGGCGCUAGGAUCAUCGGUGUUUUGAAUCACGACGAGUACGACUCCAUCAACCCCGUUCUCUUGAACUUCCGCGCGCGAUCUACAAGGGUAUGUAGAUCCACUUCUCCCUCGUUGCUAGAUGACUCCAUAGAUAGAUCUUGGUGACACGUAGGAAAAUUUUGAAUUUAUGCUACGUUCCCCGACAGGCAAGAGUGGAACAAAACACUAGGCAAAAGGCCGAGCCUUCCACCCUUUACCAAGUAUAUAGAUGCAUUAAGAUAAAAUGAUAAUAUAGUGAUAUCCCAACAGUAAACAAUGUUCCAACAAGGAACGAUUCUCCAAUCUUCACCUGCAACUAGCAACGCUAUAAGAGGGGCUGAGCAAAGCGGUAACAUAGCCAAUCAAUGGUUUGCUAGGACACGGUGGGUUAGAGGUUUGACAUGGAAAUUUGGGAGGCAUGAUAAGCAAGUGGUAGGCAUCGUAGCAUAGGCAUAGCAAAAGAGCGAGCAUCUAGCAAUCAAAGAUAGAAGUGAUUUCGAGGGUAUGAUCAUCUUGCCUGCAAAGUUGUCAGAGUUGACUUGAUCCUCGUAAGCAAACUCAACGGGC